UUCUGCUGUGCAUGAGCUGCUUGACUGGGAUAUCUCUAGGCACCAUCUGCUUGCACCUCUAAUGACUUGCGAGAAGUAAUGAUGCAGAUGGCAACCGGCAAUCAGUUCUUGGGGAGUGGCAUCUUUUUGUUGUAUCAUAUCAUCAGCCCAAGUUUUGCAUCACCAACUCAGCAUGUUUUAAAAAGAAGUGAAGUGGCACCCAGCAAACCUAAAAUGAAACUAG